rnacentral:rRNA from 1 species
UCAGAUUGAACGCUGGCGGAAUGCUUUACACAUGCAAGUCGAGCGGCAGCGCGGGGCAACCUGGCGGCGAGCGGCGAACGGGUGAGUAAUGCAUCGGAACAUGUCCAUUCGUGGGGGAUAGCCCGGCGAAAGCCGGAUUAAUACCGCAUACGCCCGAGAGGGGAAAGUGGGGGACCGCAAGGCCUCACGCGAUUGGGUUGGCCGAUGUCCGAUUAGCUAGUUGGUGGGGUAAAGGCUUACCAAGGCGAUGAUCGGUAGCUGGUCUGAGAGGAUGAUCAGCCACACUGGGACUGAGACACGGCCCAGACUCCUACGGGAGGCAGCAGUGGGGAAUUUUGGACAAUGGGGGCAACCCUGAUCCAGCCAUUCCGCGUGAGUGAAGAAGGCCUUCGGGUUGUAAAGCUCUUUUGUCCGGAACGAAACGGUUGCGGUGAAUACCCGCGACUACUGACGGUACCGGAAGAAUAAGCACCGGCUAACUACGUGCCAGCAGCCGCGGUAAUACGUAGGGUGCGAGCGUUAAUCGGAAUUACUGGGCGUAAAGCGUGCGCAGGCGGUUUUGUAAGCCAGAUGUGAAAUCCCCGGGCUUAACCUGGGAAUGGCAUUUGGGACUGCAAGGCUUGAGUUUGGCAGAGGAGACUGGAAUUCCU